UACGGGGGGGGGCAAGCGUUGUUCGGAAUUACUGGGCGUAAAGCGUGCGUAGGCGGCUUAGCAAGUUGGGAGUGAAAUCCUAGGGCUCAACCCUCAGAAACUGCUCUCAAAACUGCUUUGCUAGAGUGCCAGAGAGGAUAGCGGAAUUCCUAGUGUAGAGGUGAAAUUCGUAGAUAUUAGGAGGAACACCAGAAGCGAAAGCGGUUAUCUGGCUGGCAACUGACGCUGUUGCACGAAAGCGUGGGGAGCAAACAGG
rnacentral:rRNA from 1 species